AACGAACGCUGGCGGCAUGCCUAACACAUGCAAGUCGAACGAGACCUUCGGGUCUAGUGGCGCACGGGUGCGUAACGCGUGGGAACCUGCCCUUAGGUUCGGAAUAACUCCCCGAAAGGGGUGCUAAUACCGGAUAAUGUCUUCGGACCAAAGAUUUAUCGCCUUUGGAUGGGCCCGCGUUGGAUUAGCUAGUUGGUAGGGUAAAAGCCUACCAAGGCGACGAUCCAUAGCUGGUCUGAGAGGAUGAUCAGCCACACUGGGACUGAGACACGGCCCAGACUCCUACGGGAGGCAGCAGUGGGGAAUAUGGGACAAUGGGCGAAAGCCUGAUCCAGCAAUGCCGCGUGAGUGAUGAAGGCCUUAGGUUUGUAAAGCUCUUUUACCCGGGAUGAUAAUGACAGUACCGGGAGAAUAAGCUCCGGCUAACUCCGU
rnacentral:rRNA from 1 species